CAAGUACCUAUCUUUUGAGUUUACUUUGGAUCUUAAUAUCUCAAUCUCAUUGUGCAAGAUCUUGAUUUUCUCGCGCAUUUCUGAAGCUCUCUAUGAAGAAAAAACAAACGACUCGCCAAAUUGAAAGAAGUCAGUAAUAAAAACGCGUGAGUACCACAUAUUGUGUGAAAGAAUGUAAACAAUUUAACCUGAGUACUAGUCUGUAUGAGAUUAACGCAUUUAUUUCUUUCAUUCUUUAUUACAUCAUACAGCUUGGCGAAGUCUGUCAAUCUUGUAAAUGAGAAGGUAUUAUAUUAUGUGUUCAAUUCACAGGUGCAAAAAUUUCUUUUCAUAAUACAUACUUAUGUUGCAUUUCAGUGUACUUCUUUGAGCUAUCUUGGAUCUGAAGGUUUUUAGUCUUUACGUCUUUAUGAGCUCUCUGGUAUCUUAACUACAGAAAAGAAAAUUUGUCGUAAUUGCCAUAGUAACAAGAACACUUUUGAAACCUGGACGUUUUGGGGCUUAUCUGACCGAUACGUGUUUUUGAACAAGCAAUGAUAACAGAUCAACAACAUCGAGUCGCAAGUUGGAUUGAUUACGAAGAAGGAUUUCCUGUUCCAGGAUCAUUUGUUCAACUCUGGCGCGCUCAUGUGAGGUAUAUCCAUUCUAUAAGCAUGUAAAAACAUUCAUCCAUAAACGUGGCGAAAGUGUAUCUGGUGUGAAAAUUUCAUGUAAAAAUAUUUCAUGUUAAAAAAUCCAUGUAGAACCCUCCAUUUGUUAAAUAAACAUGCAAUGACGUAGA